AACGAACGCUGGCGGCAUGCCUAACACAUGCAAGUCGAACGAGACCUUCGGGUCUAGUGGCGCACGGGUGCGUAACGCGUGGGAACCUGCCCUUAGGUUCGGAAUAACUCCCCGAAAGGGGUGCUAAUACCGGAUAAUGUCUUCGGACCAAAGAUUUAUCGCCUUUGGAUGGGCCCGCGUUGGAUUAGCUAGUUGGUAGGGUAAAAGCCUACCAAGGCGACGAUCCAUAGCUGGUCUGAGAGAAUGAUCAGCCACACUGGGAGUGAGACACGGCCCAGACUCCUACGGGAGGCAGCAGUGGGGAAUAUUGGAAAAUGGGCGAAAGCCUGAUCCAGCAAUGCCGCGUGAGUGAUGAAGGCCUUAGGGUUGUAAAGCUCUUUUACCCGGGAUGAUAAUGACAGUACCGGGAGAAUAAGCCCCGGCUAACUCCGUG
rnacentral:rRNA from 1 species